AGACAAGUGAAUAGGAAAGAAUCUGAUCCAUGUGGGAAGGAAGACCACCCGUAAUGAGGGCAGAAGCUCAAAGUGCAGAUGCUACAGUAGACGAAUACAGAGAGAAUCCACAGAGGACUGUGCUGGAAGAUGAUGAAGAGAUGAAGAAGAAGUGAACAUCACCUGGUUAAGACCUCAGUGAGCUGAUCAUUCUCUUCCUGUCUCAUGGAGUCCUGCUUUUUCACUCUGACAGAUUUAUUAAAAGGCACGGAUCAAAG